AUCACACGAAACUUACAGAGAUCUCUGUGGAAAACUAGUCAGUUAGGUCAGACGUGAGUCACUAGAGGAGCAUUAGCAGAGAAAAUGGCAACAACAUCCUGUAAUAAAUGUGGGUUGAAGAAAAACUACAAUGGAUCAUUACCGUUUAAAUGUAAGUGUGACUCUGAAGAAGAGCCCUCCCCUUUUUCUCUGGUAAGAAUUCCAAAAGAAUAUUUUUUUUUGUUUUGAAUUAGUUUAUAUUUUCUGUUUACAUUUCAGUAAAACUU